rnacentral:rRNA from 1 species
CAGCAGCCGCGGGAAAACGUAGGUGGCAAGCGUUGUCCGGAAUUAUUGGGCGUAAAGGGCUCGCAGGCGGUUUCUUAAGUCUGAUGUGAAAGCCCCCGGUUCAACCGGGGAGGGUCAUUGGAAACUGGGAAACUUGAGUGCAGAAGAGGAGAGUGGAAUUCCACGUGUAGCGGUGAAAUGCGUUGAGAUCGGAAAGAACACCAACGGCGAAAGCACUCUGCUGGGCCGACACUGACACUGAGAGACGAAAGCUAGGGGAGCAAAUGGGAUUAGAUACCCCUGUAGUCCCUGUCUCUUAUAA